ensembl:lncRNA
UGUGUGUGCUCAUGGAAGGGAACAUGUGCAGCUGUGCUGUAGCCAUGAGGGUUUUCCACUCAAAUGAUGUUCAAAGAGCACAGUCUGAGGUGAUGCCUGGCCUUGGCAAAACCAAAGCUGAUGAAAAUCCCAUGCACCUCUGGAGCCUCUCGUAUUUUUCCCUGAUACCCAUUCUUGCAGCUUCGUGUUUGUCUAGACAAAUUCCUCACCUGGUGUACUUCGGGCGGCUUCCUCAGAAUGAGACAAGGAAGUUCAAGGAGGGCACUGGCAUGAAGUAUCUUCUGUAAAGAGGAUGAUCAAGUCAUGACUUUCCAGAUUAGAAAGAAAGAUUUGUGAGAAAGAUAUGUGAGAAAGGCAUAUAAAAGCCAGCAAAGAAGUAGUGAUCAGUUGUCCACUGCCUUUGCCAGUGCAGGAAGAGGAAAACUAGCAAGUAGCAGGUUCAAAGGAAACAAAACGUUGUUUUUGAAGCUAUGUGUGACAACAUAGUGGAAUUGUAUCUCACAGGAUGUUGUAAACGCUAACAUUUUGCAAGGGAUCAAGGGAAUGUGGAGAAUGUAAUGGAAAUGAAGGACAUCAAGGGUAUUAUAUGUAUGAUAUACAAAUAUAUCAUUUCUGUCUCAGUUGGAAUUGCUGGAGAUCAAAAGAGUGUUCUAAGGAAGUGUCUUAAUGUGUUUGCUUUAUCCUAGUUUCCUGACAGGUCUGUUUGGACAAUCCUCAGGACCAGCACAUCGGUCUAGAUCAGACAUGUCCAACCUGCAGCCUGCAAGCUGCACACAGCCCAGGACAGCCAGUAAUGCGACCCCACAAGAACAUAAACUUUUAACAUUAUUACGUGUUCUUUAGUGAUGAUUUUAAUCCAGGGCUGCAUGGGAAUGGUUGACCACCCAGCAUGGCAGGCAAGCUGAGGCAGAAAUACAGAUAGGGGCCCACAGCCUUUCUGAGCUGACGUACGCACUCAGAUGAACCUCCCAAGGAACAAGAGAGUUGCCCAGACCUUCAGGUGUGGGAAGCUCUGGAAUCUAGAGAUCACACGAGGGAUUGAGGUAGGUGAGGGUUGGUGUGGUUGCAGUUGUGCCCAACUUGAUAAUCUUUCUGAGCAGCUGAACAGGCUGUGAGAGGAAGUUGCCAGGCUGAGAGGUAUUCAGCAGUCUGAGAGAUUGAUGCCUGGUAUCGUGGUGGUGUGGGCAGACAGACUGCCUGGUCUUGAAGCCGAACCAGGGGAGGAAGAUGAGCAGGCUUCCCACCUGACAGAGAGUAAACGUGCAGGGUGAGGGAGGCUGGACCUUUGUCUCUCCAUAGGACAAAAGGAG